ensembl:lncRNA
CCUACUAGGCUUCUCCAUCCAUGGGAUUUUCUAAGCAAGAAUACAGGAGUGUGUUGCCAUUUUCUUCUCCAGGGAAUCUUCCUGACCCAGCUCCAGACUGUCUGCUGAUGGAUGGUACUCAUGCAUGGAAGAUCCAGUGGUGCUGAGCCUCUGAGCCACAAUCAUGGCUGGACAUGUAGGAGAUGGGUCAAGAGUGCUCAGAAGCGUUAGAAGGAGUCCUUAGGGAGAAGCAUUUGUGGCUGAGAGAGACGACCCUCACUUGUCAAAGACCUGCUUCUGCUAACCAGCUACCGUGUGCCUUGGGUGGGCCCUGGCCUCACCUACAGAAUGUUGGCUUUGUCCUGUCCUCAAAAGUGAGUAAGGAGUAAUCCGAACACUAGGAGGUGAGAAAGAAGGGAAAUGCAAGAGAACAUUGAGCCUAAGAGAGGCUGAUGAUAAAAAUGUGGAUUUCAACUAAACCCACCAGGAACAGCUCU